AGUGAACGCUGGCGGCGUGCCUAAUACAUGCAAGUCGAACGAAGUGGGCACGGGUGAGUAAUAUAUAGUUAAUCUCCCUACACAGAGGAACAACAGUUGGAAACGGCUGCCAAACCCCCUAGUGUAGGAUGAGACUAUAUCGUAUCAGCUAGGUGGUAAGGUAAUGGCUUACCAAGGCUAUGACGCGUAACUGGUCUGAGAGGAUGAUCAGUAACAUUGGAACUGAGACACGGUCCAAACUCCGACGGGAGGCAUCAGUAGGGAAUCUGCCGCAAUGGGCGAAAGCCUGACGGAGCAACGCCGCGUGAGUGAGGAAGGUCUUCGGAUCGUAAAACUCUGUUAUUAGGGAAGCGGUACCUAAUCAGAAAGCCACGGCUAACUACGUGCCAGCCGCCGCGGUAAUU
rnacentral:rRNA from 1 species